rnacentral:rRNA from 1 species
AGAGUUUGAUCCUGGCUCAGAUUGUACGCUGGCGGCAGGCUUAACACAUGCAAGUCGAACGGUAACAGGAGAAAGCUUGCUUUCUUGCUGACGAGUGGCGGACGGGUGAGUAAUGCUUGGGAAUCUGGCUUAUGGAGGGGGAUAACUACGGGAAACUGUAGCUAAUACCGCGUAAUAUCUUCGUGAUUAAAGGGUGGGACUUUCGGGCCACCUGCCAUAAGAUGAGCCCAAGUGGGAUUAGGUAGUUGGUGGGGUAAAGGCCUACCAAGCCGACGAUCUACUAGCUGGUCUGAGAGGAUGACCAGCCACACUGGAACUGAGACACGGUCCAGACUCCUACGGGAGGCAGCAGUGGGGAAUAUUGCACAAUGGGGGGAACCCUGAUGCAGCCAUGCCGCGUGAAUGAAGAAGGCCUUCGGGUUGUAAAGUUCUUUCGGUGAUGAGGAAGGUGUUUGUUUUAAUAGAACAAGCAAUUGACGUUAGUCACAGAAGAAGCACCGGCUAACUCCGUGCCAGCAGCCGCGGUAAUACGGAGGGUGCGAGCGUUAAUCGGAAUGACUGGGCGUAAAGGGCACGCAGGCGGUGACUUAAGUGAGAUGUGACAAGCCCCGAGCUUAACUUGGGAAUUGCAUUUCAUACUGGGUCGCUAGAGUAUUUUAGGGAGGGGUAGUAAUUCCACGUGUAGCGGUGAGAAUGCGUAGAGAUGUGGAGGAAUACCGAAGGCGAAGGCUAGCCCCUUGGGAAUAUACUGACGCUGCAUGUGCGAAAGCGUGGGGAGCAAACAGGAUUAGAUACCCUGGUAGUCCACGCUGUAAACGCUGUCGAUUUGGGGAUUGGGCUUAGAGUCUUGGUGCCCGUAGCU